rnacentral:ncRNA from 1 species
UCCUGACAGCGAGAGCUGACUUAACCCAGACAGGAGAUUCAUAAUG